AUUGAACGCUGGCGGCAGGCUUAACACAUGCAAGUCGAGCGAGCGGCGGACGGGUGAGUAAUGUCUGGGAAACUGCCUGAUGGAGGGGGAUAACUACUGGAAACGGUAGCUAAUACCGCAUACCAUCAGAUGUGCCCAGAUGGGAUUAGCUAGUAGGUGGGGUAAUGGCUCACCUAGGCGACGAUCCCUAGCUGGUCUGAGAGGAUGACCAGCCACACCUGGACUUAGACAAGGGCCAGACUCCUACGGGAGGCAGCAGUGGGGAAUAUUCCGCCAUGUGCGCAAGCCUGAUGCAGCCAUGCCGCGUGUGUGAAGAAGGCCUUCGGGUUGUAAAGCACUUUCAGCGAGGGGGCGUUACUCGCAGAAAAAGCACCGGCUAACUCCAUGCCAGCAGCCGCGGUAAUAC
rnacentral:rRNA from 1 species